rnacentral:sRNA from 1 species
AGCUCAAUUUCCACACUCCAAUACUUGUUUGUGUCUUGGCAUAUUGUCCCGGUAUCGGGGAAGCGGUCACAGAGUAUGGUGGAUGGAUCUUUGAUUGUUAGGCCAAUAAAAAUGUCGUAUAAGCGCGCGGUUCAAAUGAUAUCUCGUCUGCGGCGGCAAUCUCGGGAGCUCAAUGAAAAGUUGGAAUUGCCUGAAACAGUUCAAAAAACAACUGAAACUACCCCAUCUAUCAGAUCCUUCCAUUGAAAUAUCGGUG